rnacentral:rRNA from 1 species
UACGAAGGGGGCUAGCGUUGUUCGGAAUUACUGGGCGUAAAGGGCGCGUAGGCGGCUUAUCAAGUCAGGCGUGAAAGCCCCGGGCUUAACCUGGGAACUGCGCUUGAGACUGUUAGGCUUGAGUACCGGAGAGGUAGGUGGAAUUCCCAGUGUAGAGGUGAAAUUCGUAGAUAUUGGGAAGAACACCAGUGGCGAAGGCGGCCUACUGGACGGUAACUGACGCUGAGGCGCGAAAGCGUGGGGAGCAAACAGGAUUAGAUACCCUGGUAGUCCACGCCGUAAACGAUGUCGGCUAGACGUUGGGGCUCUUAGAGCUUCAGUGUCGCAGCUAACGCAUUAAGCCGACCGCCUGGGGAGUACGGCCGCAAGGUUGAA